rnacentral:lncRNA from 1 species
UCGGGGCCUUUUAUAGCUGACUAUGCGGUAUGGGCUUUGCUCAUUGUUGAAGGCCUUACGGUUACCUAUAGUUGUUAAUGUUUGUAUCAUUUUGGUCUUUUCUGGAUAGUUGUCUCAUUGGCAAUAAUACCACAUCUUCUUUUUUAUAUAUUAUAGUAUCUAUAAGUUGGAUGUAGAAAAUGCAUAACCUCCGAAUUUUUUUUUUAUCACGGACGGAG